CAGUAGCCGCGGUAAUACGGAGGGUGCGAGCGUUAAUCGGAAUAACUGGGCGUAAAGGGCACGCAGGCGGUGACUUAAGUGAGGUGUGAAAGCCCCGGGCUUAACCUGGGAAUUGCAUUUCAUACUGGGUCGCUAGAGUACUUUAGGGAGGGGUAGAAUUCCACGUGUAGCGGUGAAAUGCGUAGAGAUGCGGAGGAAUACCGAAGGCGAAGGCAGCCCCUUGGGAAUGUACUGACGCUCAUGUGCGAAAGCGUGGGGAGCAAACAGGAUUAGAUACCCCUGUAGUCCCUGUCUCUUAUAC
rnacentral:rRNA from 1 species